CCUACGGGAGGCAGCAGUGAGGAAUAUUGGUCAAUGGCCGUAAGGCUGAACCAGCCAAGUCGCGUGAAGGAAGAAGGAUCUAUGGUUUGUAAACUUCAUUUAUAGGGGAAUAAAGGUAUCCACGUGUGGAUCUUUGCAUGUACCCUAUGAAUACGCAUCGGCUAAGCCCGUGCCAGCAGCCGCGGUAAUACGGAGGACGCGAGCGUUAUCCGGAUUUAUUGGGUGUAAAGGGAGCGUAGGUGGUUGUUUAAGUCAGCGGUGAAAGGUUGUGGCUCAACCAUAAAAUUGCCGUUGAAACUGGAAGACUUGAGUGUGGUUGAGGUAGGCGGAAUGCGUGGUGUAGCGGUGAAAUGCAUAGAUAUCACGCAGAACACCGAUUGCGAAGGCAGCUUACUAAGCCAUAACUGACACUGAAGCACGAAAGCGUGGGGAGCAAACAGGAUUAGAUACCCCAGUAGUC
rnacentral:rRNA from 1 species